rnacentral:rRNA from 1 species
AACGAACGCUGGCGGCGUGCCUAACACAUGCAAGUCGUGCGAGAAAGUUCCUUCGGGAGCGAGUAAAGCGGCGCACGGGUGAGUAACACGUAGGUAACCUGCCCCCCAGUCUGGAACAACUAGAGGAAACUCUAGCUAAUGCCGGAUGAGACCACGAUCCCUUCGGGGGUUGCGGCCAAAGAUGGCCUCUACUUGUAAGCUAUCGCUGAGGGAUGGGCCUGCGGGCCAUUAGCUUGUUGGUGAGGUAACGGACUCACCAAGGCUGUGAUGGCUAGCUGGUCUGAGAGGAUGACCAGCCACACUGGGACUGAGACACGGCCCAGACUCCUACGGGAGGCAGCAGUGGGGAAUAUUGCGCAAUGGGCGAAAGCCUGACGCAGCGACGCCGCGUGGGUGAUGAAGGCCUGGUCGUAAGACCUGUCGC